UGGUGGGUAGUUUGACUGGGGCGGUCUCCUCCUAAAGAGUAACGGAGGAGCACGAAGGUUGGCUAAUCCUGGUCGGACAUCAGGAGGUUAGUGCAAUGGCAUAAGCCAGCUUGACUGCGAGCGUGACGGCGCGAGCAGGUGCGAAAGCAGGUCAUAGUGAUCCGGUGGUUCUGAAUGGAAGGGCCAUCGCUCAACGGAUAAAAGGUACUCCGGGGAUAACAGGCUGAUACCGCCCAAGAGUUCAUAUCGACGGCGGUGUUUGGCACCUCGAUGUCGGCUCAUCACAUCCUGGGGCUGAAGUAGGUCCCAAGGGUAUGGCUGUUCGCCAUUUAAAGUGGUACGCGAGCUGGGUUUAGAACGUCGUGAGACAGUUCGGUCCCUAUCUGCCGUGGGCGCUGGAGAACUGAGGG
rnacentral:rRNA from 1 species